rnacentral:rRNA from 1 species
GACCUCGAAUCAGGUAGGAAUACCCGCUGAACUUAAGCAUAUCAAUAAGCGGAGGAAAAGAAACCAACAGGGAUUGCCCCAGUAACGGCGAGUGAAGCGGCAACAGCUCAAAUUUGAAAUCUGGCUCUCGGGCCCGAGUUGUAAUUUGUAGAGGAUGCUUUUGGUGAGGUGCCUUCCGAGUUCCCUGGAACGGGACGCCAUAGAGGGUGAGAGCCCCGUCUGGUUGGACGCCGAUCCUCUGUAAAGCUCCUUCGACGAGUCGAGUAGUUUGGGAAUGCUGCUCUAAAUGGGAGGUAUAUGUCUUCUAAAGCUAAAUACCGGCCAGAGACCGAUAGCGCACAAGUAGAGUGAUCGAAAGAUGAAAAGAACUUUGAAAAGAGAGUUAAACAGUACGUGAAAUUGUUGAAAGGGAAGCGCUUGUGACCAGACUUGGGCUUGGUUGAUCAUCCGGGGUUCUCCCCGGUGCACUCUUCCGGCCCAGGCCAGCAUCAGUUCGCCCUGGGGGACAAAGGCUUCGGGAACGUGGCUCUCUCCGGGGAGUGUUAUAGCCCGUUGCGUAAUACCCUGUGGCGGACUGAGGUUCGCGCAU